rnacentral:ncRNA from 1 species
UUGAUAGAGGCGCGGCGCUCAUCAGUACCUCUCCCCAGCGGCAGGCACGCCGGGAGUGGGAAAGGGAUCGCCGCCGAAGGGUCCGGUGGGUGCACCUCCGCUGGACGCCUGGGCCGCAGGAAAAGAUCCUGUGGACUGCCAUUUUUCGUAAAUGGAGCGCUAUCA